GUUCGGGAAAACUUUUCAUCCAGCAGGACAGCGAGGAUUCUUGGCCCUCCUAUAACAGAAAACGCACAUCUGUGCUCUUGAGUUUCCUUAUGAGGACUUUUACUGGCUUACGCAUCGGAAAAAUGUUGUAGUUGCAAGAUCAAAGAAGAUUAUGCACGCUUGGCAGAGAUUUCACAGGUGGAAAUAAGACCAUCCGCGGCAAAGCUCAUGUCACCGAAAGGGAUUAGUUUUUCAUACAGUAUCACAGCGUUACUAUUCUCGGUCUAUGUGUGAGGAAGAUACCGUGCUUUAGUGGUUUCAACUUACUAAAAAUUUUGACUUUACAGACUGUUUUUUCUUUUGUUUUUGUUUAGCAUUAACCGACGCAAAAGUUCUUAUUAGGCGCCGUGAAGCAAGUGGGCAUUGGCUAGUAUACGUAUAAAAUUGUGAAGAACGUUCAUUUAGGAAUUCUAUAAUGGCUCUGGGUAACCGUUACCAUUGCAUUGCCUGUUGAAGAUGUGGCCGAAGCAUAGCUGAAUGUAGCUGAAAAACUUAGUGCGAAAAUGCCAUUGGCCUAAAACACGCACGAAUAAUUGUGCAAGCAUGGUUUGUUGGCGAGGGGAAUGAAGACAAUACAUUGUUCGAUUUCAUUUGUCGAAGCUUCGUUGGAUGUAAAUUUUUUAGUUGCGCAUAGCACCAUGCUGGAUGGAAAAAUUGGAGAAGUUCGAUAAUGCCAUUGAGUGUUACUGGAAAGCCUGCACUGUGGGUUAUAUUGUAGCAGCGGAAAAUUUAAAUGAUAAACGAAUGCAAUCGCCAUAGUAGCAGACACCUCAUCAGGCAAUAUUAUGUAAAUGGAGUUUAGCGAUCCUGCAAUCGGAUUUGAAAAUGUCCAACAAACGCCGGCAAUCAGUGGUAAAGGCACUUCUAGUCUAAUUUUCAAAUAUUUUACGCUUAACUAACAAAUUUUUAAUAAAUUGUUUUAAUAGUUAUUUCUAUUGUA